UUAUUUUUAUAUGAUCCAAUAAUCUAAAUUAUUUUAAAGUUCAAAUAGGCCCUUAUAUGUUAUUAUUUGAAUUUAUCUGACUAGGUGCGGCGCGACUAGGAUAUGAAUUUUAAUUGUAUUACUCAAGUUAGCAUUCAAGUUGAAGUUCAAGUUCAAGUUAAAUUUCCAGGUGUGGGAUUUAUUUCAGUACAUGCACGUGGUUAAUAUUUGUCCAUUUUAAUAUUAUGUGUUUACCGUAUGUGUUGUAAAAAUAUUUAUCGCUAGGGGCCAGCAUAAUUGGUCCAGGACUUCACCGUCCUUGGUAUGCCACAAUGCGAUUUCAUGUUACAGGGUUGCAACCAUUAUAUUGUCGCCAGGGAUCCAUAUAUAGGGUCCGGGACAUUAAAGUCCUUGGAGUUGCCACAGUGCGUAUGGAAGUUAUGUUACGUUAUGACAAUAUGUGUUACCAUUUUAUUAACAUGGACAAUUAUUGCAUGUUCCCACACUGAGUGUACCCUGUAUGCUCAUCCCAUAUUCAACAGUUUCAGGUGAUUGAUAUCGGAGGCGCGUGGAGAGUCGAAUGGGCGCGUCGAAUCUAUUUAAAAUAAAUGUUUCUUAAAACAUAUUAUGUUAUUUCAUGUUAUAUCUUUUGGUUAUGUAAACUCUGAAAUUCUAUACUAUUUGAGAUUUGUGUGUGAUUUAUUUAAAUAAAUGUUGUUAUAUUAUUUUAAUGUCAUGACUUGUUUAAUUUAUAUUUAAAUUCAUUUCAAAUAUUUAUUUAAGAAUUUAUAUCUUUACGAAAAUAUAUAC
rnacentral:lncRNA from 1 species